rfam:Homo sapiens chromosome 6, GRCh38 reference primary assembly.
GUGCUCGUUUCAGCAGCACAUAUACUAAAAAUUGGAAUGAUACGGAGAAGACUACCAUGGCCUCUGAGCAAGAAUGACACAAAAAUCCUGCAAAAUAAAAAGCCUGAGC